rnacentral:lncRNA from 1 species
AGAUCAAAUGAUGUGUGAAUGAAAAGUAUGAUGAGGGAAAACAAAUAUGAUCAUUUUUUUUUAUCUUUUAGUGCCACAUUCUUGACUUUUUAUUGACUUUUCUUUUAUGAUGUAAAUUAAUUAAUGAAUGGUGUAUGAUUAUAUGAUGAUGCAAAUGCAUGAAUUACCAUGAGAAUAAAUUAAUUUAAAUGCACUUUCUUUUAUUUUUG